UCUCUCUCGGUGGGUACACACGAAGCCAGCGCGUUUUAGUGUGCAGCUGCAGCCGAGCCCUGGCGAGCAGUAGGAGGGAUCUGACUGGUGCACAUUUGGACGCAUGUGAACGGCGCAGUCCAUGAUGAUGAAGAUGAUGAUGCUGGCUGCAGCUCUGCAGACAAUCGCGGCUGCUGAACGAGCCGUGAGGUGCUGUCCACGGUGCUGAAGGGGUCGGCGUGUUUUCCCCGCCGCUCCCCCCCACCCACCCACCCCUCUCCUCGUCAGUCCAGACUACACGCGUGAACUGACGCGGAUGCCGAGCAGCGCAACACAGCCCCAGUAAAUAAAUGGGACCGCACGUCAUCCGAGCGCUUGAGAGAUCAUGGAGAGAUUUUUCCUGCUCGUCCUCAGCGGCUGCCUCGGCGUCUCUCGAGUCACAGCGGAUAGCCUGUCGCCGCCAGUCAAUGUGACCAUCAGAGAGGUGAAAGCUAACUCUGCUGUGGUGUCAUGGGACAUCCCCGAGGGAGACCCAGUCAUUGGCUUUGCCAUCACACAGCAGAAGAAAGAUGUGCGUAUGCUGCGGUUCAUCCAGGAAGUCAACACCACCACGCGCUCCUGUGCAUUAUGGGACUUGGAGGAGGAGACAGACUACAUUGUGCAUGUCCAGUCCAUCAGCAUGUCCGGAUCGAGCCCGCUGAGCGAACCACUGCGCUUCCGAACCCCAAAGGAGGCCGAGACCCAGGCCUCUAAGAACGAAGUGACCAUGGAGGAGGUGGGUCAGUCGAGCCAGCUGAGGGCAGGAGAGCUCAUCAUCAUCGUGGUCGUACUCAUCAUGUGGGCAGGUGUGAUUGCCCUCUUCUGUCGUCAGUAUGACAUAAUCAAAGACAACGAGCCCAACAACAACAAGGACAAAGCCAAAAACUCCUCGGAGUGCAGCACUCCUGAACACCCGACGGGGGGGCUGCUGCGCAGUAAGGUAUAACCCACCCCUCUGCUCCUUCUCCUCUCCCCGGGUGCCUCCCCUCUCAGCGACGCUGGCCAGUUCCCCAAGAACGACAACAACAGGUUGCCAUCUGUCAACAUCAUUGAGGUGUGACUGCCAAUAAGUCUUCUCCUUGCUCAAAAGACGUCAUCGAAACAACGAGGCCCAUUUAAGUCUACCUGCUGUCAGGAUGACGCUGGGACCGAGGGACUCUGGGCGUCUUGGCACCGCCUUUUCUUCUUCGGCGCCGGCUGUGGUGCGGAGGUGAAGCUGCAUGGACUCCAGAAGAAGUGGAGGAAUGAGGCCGAGCUCCGCCUCGGGUUCUGUGAGAGCAGAGACUGCGGGAAGAGUUCAGCGGCGGGUCCACGCUCAGUCACGGUGCGACGUGGUGACGGUUAUUAGGGUUGUGGAGGGACUGCAGAAGAACCAACCCCCCGGGGACCAAAGCCGAUCAAACAGAGCCAGAAACCGUUAGCAAGAAAGUUUUUCAUUUAACUUUUCCGGAUGGUACCGUAAGCUUCUUUAAAACCUUAUUUUCUUCAUGGGCUUAAGCGGUACAUUUGAUGUUUUGGAAUGUGUCUCGGCCUUUUCAGUAAACCUCCUAGUGCAGAGACUCUUUGCUGUUCUGGUAGGUUUGUAUUCCCCGCUCAGGGAGUCCAGACCCAACCUGGGUAACAAAGGAGCCAUUUCCAGCACAGGCUGUCACGACACCAGAGCAGCUUUAGAGGAAUCAGUCGGCUAAAAUCACUCACAGUCAUUAACGCAUAUUUACAGCAUAGUUCUUUUAGGUCUGGCCUGUAACUCCCCUCAUCUUUUUUUAUUACAGACUUCUAAAAUGUAACAUUCCUCUCCCUGAACGAGCCCUUUAUUGCCUCCUGGUGUCUUUCUUUCUGAGUGUGAUGGAUUUUUGCGUCAUUCUCGCGAGGAGCAGAAGAACUCCCAUUAUGGAGUUCAUUCAUCUAAUUAAUUAACUAGAAAUGGGGCUGGACUCUACGGAUGUCUGAGGAGACGAGAUCCCUUCAAUCAGCAAUAACAGCCCCUCAGAGGAAAGAAAGGGAGUCCAGAUCCUCUGGAAGAAAAGGACCGUCGGCAUGUAAUAGAUGAACAAACUGGACGUUCGGUAUGCUGGAAUAAACCCUGGGCAUCAUUUUUAAGUGAUUCUCAAAAAUCUAAU